rnacentral:lncRNA from 1 species
AGGUACAUGAGUUUAAGCUAAUUAAUUUUCUUCGAUUACACAUGCAUAUUUGUAAGUUUAUAAAAUUUUGGCUAUUGUGAUUUAUCAGUGUUUAGUUGAGAAAAUAAUUGUAUAUUAUUUUUUAAUUUUAUAUUUUAAUGUUUUGUAUAGGAAAUUAUAGAAAGCUAUAAAAAAUUAAUAAAUAAAUUGGAAAGAAAAGGAUACUUAUAGUAAUAAUAGUAUAUUAAUUAGUAAUUAAAAUUAAAAACAGUUUUAUCAUCCUGAGAUGGAGAAAAUAGAAGGAUGAUAUCAUUAGGUUGAAAUUGACAUGUAUGUACCUAUCUAUAGAAGGAUGGAUAACAGAGCAACAGAUUUAACUAAAAAUUAAUUAAACUGUAAAUUAUAAUCUGUCGUUUCUGUUAUUGGAAAUACACAAGUCCACAUUGAAUAAAGAAUGUUUUGGUUUUUUUGUGCUUAAUUUUGAACAGGGUAAAUGUGGAUCUUGCUGGGCUUUCAGCACUACAGGAUCUGUAGAAGGAGCCAAUUUUCUUGCCACUGGCAAACUUCUCAGUCUUAGUGAACAACAGCUCGUGGACUGCGACAACAAGGUAAUAAAUAAUAUAUAUAACUAUCUAUAUGUUCUACAUAUGAUAGAAUAAAUAAAUAAAUAAAUAAAAAAUUGAAGACAAAAAUAAAAUAAAAUUUAAUGCUGAUAAAUAAGUUUUUAAUGUUUUUCUUUUUUGCUUUUCAUACCCCAUCAAAUCAACUAGUUCAAUCUGUACAGAAAUUUCUGCUAUUUCAAUUUGUGCUUUUUUUACCUGAAAUUUGUUCUUGUUGCACUAUUGCCUUUGUCAAGUGUGACAUAACAGAGAAGACAUCAUGUGACAAUGGUUGUUAUGGAGGUCUUAUGACAAAUGCCUAUAAUUAUUUGAUUGAGGCUGGUGGAUUGGAAGAGGAAACUUCAUACCCUUACACUGGGGAUCGAGGUGAAUGCAAGUUUGAUCCAGAGAAAGUAGCAGUUAGAAUCACAAAUUUCACCAAUAUAC